UACGUAGGGUGCGAGCGUUGUCCGGAAUUAUUGGGCGUAAAGAGCUUGUAGGCGGUUUGUCGCGUCUGCUGUGAAAAUCCGGGGCUCAACCCCGGACUUGCAGUGGGUACGGGCAGACUAGAGUGUGGUAGGGGAGACUGGAAUUCCUGGUGUAGCGGUGAAAUGCGCAGAUAUUAGGAGGAACACCGGUGGCGAAGGCGCUGCUCUGGGCCGAUAUUGACGCUGAGGAGCGAAAGCGUGGGGAGCGAACAGG
rnacentral:rRNA from 1 species